rnacentral:rRNA from 1 species
GACGAACGCUGGCGGCGUGCUUAACACAUGCAAGUCGAACGGAAAGGCCCUGCUUUUGUGGGGUGCUCGAGUGGCGAACGGGUGAGUAACACGUGAGUAACCUGCCCUUGACUUUGGGAUAACUUCAGGAAACUGGGGCUAAUACCGGAUAGGAGCUCCUGCUGCAUGGUGGGGGUUGGAAAGUUUCGGCGGUUGGGGAUGGACUCGCGGCUUAUCAGCUUGUUGGUGGGGUAGUGGCUUACCAAGGCUUUGACGGGUAGCCGGCCUGAGAGGGUGACCGGCCACAUUGGGACUGAGAUACGGCCCAGACUCCUACGGGAGGCAGCAGUGGGGAAUAUUGCACAAUGGGCGGAAGCCUGAUGCAGCAACGCCGCGUGCGGGAUGACGGCCUUCGGGUUGUAAACCGCUUUCGCCUGUGACGAAGCGUGAGUGACGGUAAUGGGUAAAGAAGCACCGGCUAACUACGUGCCAGCAGCCGCGGUGAUACGUAGGGUGCGAGCGUUGUCCGGAUUUAUUGGGCGUAAAGGGCUCGUAGGUGGUUGAUCGCGUCGGAAGUGUAAUCUUGGGGCUUAACCCUGAGCGUGCUUUCGAUACGGGUUGACUUGAGGAAGGUAGGGGAGAAUGGAAUUCCUGGUGGAGCGGUGGAAUGCGCAGAUAUCAGGAGGAACACCAGUGGCGAAGGCGGUUCUCUGGGCCUUUCCUGACGCUGAGGAGCGAAAGCGUGGGGAGCGAACAGGCUUAGAUACCCUGGUAGUCCACGCUGUAAACGGUGGGUACUAGGUGUGGGGUCCAUUCCACGGGUUCCGUGCCGUAGCUAACGCUUUAAGUACCCCGCCUGGGGAGUACGGCCGCAAGGCUAAAACUCAAAGGAAUUGACGGGGCCCCGCACAAGCGGCGGAGCAUGCGGAUUAAUUCGAUGCAACGCGUAAAACCUUACCUGGGUUUGACAUGGAUCGGGAGCGCUCAGAGAUGGGUGUGCCUCUUUUGGGGUCGGUUCACAGGUGGUGCAUGGCUGUCGUCAGCUCGUGUCGUGAGAUGUUGGGUUAAGUCCCGCAACGAGCGCAACCCUUGUUCACUGUUGCCAGCACGUUAUGGUGGGGACUCAGUGGAGACCGCCGGGGUCAACUCGGAGGAAGGUGGGGAUGACGUCAAGUCAUCAUGCCCCUUAUGUCCAGGGCUUCACGCAUGCUACAAUGGCUGGUACAGAGAGUGGCGAGCCUGUGAGGGUGAGCGAAUCUCGGAAAGCCGGUCUCAGUUCGGAUUGGGGUCUGCAACUCGACCUCAUGAAGUCGGAGUCGCUAGUAAUCGCAGAUCAGCAACGCUGCGGUGAAUACGUUCCCGGGGCU